rnacentral:rRNA from 1 species
UACGAAGGGGGCUAGCGUUGUUCGGAUUAACUGGGCGUAAAGGGUGCGUAGGCGGGUUUUUAAGUCCGGGGUGAAAUCCCGAGGCUCAACCUCGGAACUGCCUUUGAUACUGGAAAUCUUGAGUCUGGGAGAGGUGAGUGGAACUGCGAGUGUAGAGGUGAAAUUCGUAGAUAUUCGCAAGAACACCGGUGGCGAAGGCGGCUCACUGGCCCGGAACUGACGCUGAGGCACGAAAGCGUGGGGAGCAAACAGG